CUGAGGCACAUUCGUCUGAGACUCGAGCGGACGACUGCGAACUAGUAAA
rnacentral:rRNA from 1 species